UACGGAGGAGGCAAGCGUUAUCCGGAAUUAUUGGGCGUAAAGCGUCCGUAGGUGGCUAGUCAAGUCUGCGGUCAAAGACUGGGGCUUAACCCUGGAAAGGCCGUGGAAACUUUCAAACUAGAGUAUGGUAGGGGUAGAGGGAAUUUCCAGUGGAGCGGUGAAUGCGUAGAUAUUGGAAAGACCACCGAUGGCGAAGGCACUCUACUGGGCCACUACUGACACUGAGAGACGAAAGCUAGGGGAGCAAAUGGG
rnacentral:rRNA from 1 species